ensembl:lncRNA
GCCAGGGUAGGGCCUCGAGCUGGGGGGCAGUGAGGAUGGGAAACGCUCCCAGCCCCAGUCAGCGGCUCCCGGGGGGGUGGGGGUUCAGUGAAUGAGUCAAGCGGCUUUUGUUCCUCUUGUUUUCGCUCAUUCCGUGAAGGAUUUCUCUUGACUCAUGAUUUCCCAACCAGCUCCUUCUGCAGCUUAAGAAAGCAAGAGUGAAUAAUUGCUCUGGUUUUUUGCUGCUUGGGUUUUUUCCUUCAUUACAGGAAUGUGUAAACACCCUGGGUUUUCAGAGACCGGCUGCCAAACCCCGCGUCGGAGGCUCCUCCUGCUUUCGGGCAAUGGCUGGCAUCCUCGCUGGGGGAACUGGGCUGACCCUGCUGGCGAGGGCUGACCCUCACCAAGUCGUCAAGGACCCUGGCCUGGGAGAGGUGGUGGAGGCCAUGCCAGAACUUCUUACCCGUCUGUUAUGGGCUGAAUCGUGUUCCCCUCAAAAUGCAUAUGUUGAAGGCCUAAUCUCCAGGACCUCAGAACGCGGCUGUUGCUGGAGAUAAGGUCUUUGAAGACGUGAUUAAGUUAGAAUGAGGUCAUCAGGGUGGGUCCUGAUCCACUAGGCCUGGUGUCUUUACAAGAAGAGGAGAUCAGGACACAGACACGCACAGAGGGACGACCACGUGAGGACACAGGGAGAGGACGGCCAUCUGCCGGCCAAGGAGGGAGGCCCCCGGAGAAACCAACGUGCUGACACCUUGGUCUUGUACUUCCAGCCUCCAAGACCCUGCGGUUUAAGGCCCUGGCUUGUGGCGCUUUGUUACAGCCACCUGAGCUGACUUAUACAGCAUCCUUGCCCUCUCUGUGCCCAGGAGAGGAGCCUUCCCUGCCCCCUUACCACACCCAUGACUGGGCAGUAAAUCCCCACGGCUGGGCGAGGCUGACAGCCCCAGUCUCCUUGUGCUCCAGCUCUGGGGAGAUGCUGGGGGGCAGGUAUCUCUACUGCUCAGCAGCCCUAGGUGGGAGGCAUGAGGGAGCAGAGAGGCCUAGGUGGGCAAGCGAGCCCAGCAGAAUCCCACACGGAGAAUGCGGGUGAGAAGGAGCCUGUGCCAUCUGCCUCGUGUUCUGGGGGGACUCACACUCCCUGGCUUUCCCGGUUGUCCCCUUGCACUCAGAAGUGGCAUGGUGCAGGGCCGGGAACGAACAGCUGGACGCACACAGAUCGGCUUCUCAUGAAGUCUCCAUUUCACGUGUGGCCUUCUGCCGCGGCCCCUGCUCCUCUCAGCUGCCUUGUGAGGGAAGUCACCCCCGGACAGAGCCAGAAGUUCUGGGAAGAGAACUGAAGGACCUUCGUCACUGCCACCCACCGCCUUCUCCACCAAGACGCCCCUGACCGCUAUCACAGGCCACAACAGAGAAUGCACAACGGAACACACCCGUCCUCUCCGUCUAUCCCUCCUCGCGGAAAGUCAGAGUGAGGAUGCCAAAGGGGCUUAGGUUCCAUGCCAGGUCUGAGCUUCGGUGGCGGUCCUGUGCCAGAGGCCUGACAGAUGCCGAGUUUAUUGGGGAUGUUGACCUUCAGGAUGCUCACUCGGGUGGCAGAAAUCAAGGACAGGGAUGAAGCAUCCCUCGGAGGUCCCUCUCCCUCUGUUGAAAAAACCCCCUGAAAUAGUUGAAGGAUAGAUAGUGUUGGAGGCCCACAGGGCGGUUUCAAACCAUGCUCUGCAGUCGGGCCUGCGGUAAAGAGGUCCGACCCUCGGAAGAACCAGGAGAUGUGAGGACUCCAACUCAGGGCCAGGAUUGGGGAAGGCUUCCGGGAGCAAGGCUGAGCAGCCAGUGUCUGUGGGGCUCCCCGUCCCAGGCUCCAGUGUGUGCUGUCGGGGUGGGGGUGACAACCCCCAGCAAGGAACUGGGGAAACCAGGCCUGCUCUGAAGCCGGUCUUGACGGGAGAUGAGCCCAAAGAAAUGAGCUACUAAAAGGAAAGAAAUGGGGGCUCACACCCCAAAUUCCAUCCAGAGGGAGGGUGUGUAGAGACAGUGAGGAACUGCGGAGGGCUCCCCGGAUUCCAACACCAUGAGGUGGGGCCAGCCACAUCGUCUGUGCUGCAGGAUGAACACGUGGGGCCCCUGGCCAACAAGCACCAAAAAUUGCAAGAUGGUGCAACAGAGCAUGGCUACAGCGCGGGCCUCCUGCGUGGGCCCAUGUGACUGCACCGCAGCUCCCAGUGUCCAGAGGCCUGAGCCCUUCAGGACCUGAGCCUUGGCUGGUGCUGCCUUCCUUUCCCAGAGUCCUGGGCUCGUGGCAGGUAUUUUCUCAGGCGGACAGAGUUGCAGAGUGAGGAGCGGGGAAGGGCAGAGGCGAGGCCGUGGUGCAGGCUCCACAGCAUCGGCUGUAAAUCCCUCACAUCCUCCCUGGGCCCAGGAAAGCAUCCUGACUUCGGACCGGGUUCCUGUUUUCAUACCUUCCUGUGAGUCAGGCUGGGAUGAGUCUGCGCCCCGUCCAGACCGUCCCGGCCCUUAUCUGAUGGGAACGAGGCUCUGUGCACAGCCCUGCAGGGUUUGGGAGGCCUCAGGACUCAGAGAAAUAAACAGCAGCGAUGAUGUGGCUCCACGGUCCGGUCAGGGGAGGGCCGCGCUCCCUCAGAAGACACAGCCGCCGUGAACCCACAACGGCCAUCUGUGCAGGGGUGCGCUGUCCAACCUCCCAAAUGGACGUGCCCUUUAGAGGCUGUUAAACCCAGCAGAGGACGCCCAGCCCCUGCAGGCUGACCAAGGCGGUCGUGGUCCCCGGUGGAUGACCCCGGGCUGCGCCCUGCGGCCCAGGGGGCCCCCCGCCGGAGUCACGCUGCUCCUCAGCUCUUGUGGAGGCUGGAUUUGUGGGAUGUUAACCCCAGCCCGUGUUUAAUAUUUAAAAUUGAUGGUUCUUAAAUCCUUUGGCUCACUUGAGAGGGAGGCGGAGACCAUCAGCAUCCGAAAGCUAACCCUCCCCAGGGCCUUUAUCAAACUCCCAGUGGUCUCAGAAGGUCAGAGCUUCCCACAGUCACUGACCACGUGGGUGGGCAUCCCAGAGACCCACAGCCUCUUGGUGCCACGGCCAUCAUCCUCUGGGUUCAGAAGUGCACGGCCCCCCAGAGGAACCAGCCCCCACCAGAGCCAGUGAGCUCACCCGGAUAGGAAAAAGAUAAUUUCAUAUUUCAAAAAAGCACUUAAACAGCAAAAGUCCCUGCAGAAACCACAUGUGGAAAACCCACUUACAGACAGGCCAAAUCUCCAAACCGAGGCUCAGCGUCGCAACGGGUGCGCAGUGCCCAGCAGCCAGAGAACGGGGUAUGAGGGCAGAGGGCGCGCACCACAGUGUGAACCCUCGCCAGGCAACGCGCACACCAGGUGCCAUCGCCCCUCCCCGUGGGAACACUCCGCAACACCGAGGAGCCAAUGGUUCCCCUGAGAGCUGUGCUGUCUCCUGAGCAUCUCAGCCCAUCCAGGCCAGAGCCACCCGCAGGCCCGCCUUCCCCCGGGGAGCAGGUGGCCAAGUGAAGCUGAUGCUCUGGGCUCCGAGUUCCCCCCUCAGAAAGGUGGAGCUUUUUAAAUCAAACUGAACUUUCUCAAGUCACCUGUCACUGGGGAGGCUGCCAUGCAUUCAGAUGCCUGUGUGCACACCUGCCCUCCCUCGGAAACCUCCAGAACAAGGCAUUCAGUGUCUCCCAGCACAGUGCGGGCCCCUCCAAGGUGGCCGUGACUGAGUUUGUGAAAGGAAUUCUGAGUAGAUCCCACGACCCAGAUGAAGGAGAGAUCAGGGGCUCCAGGCUCCCGAAGGACUUGGACCCAUCGCCUCAUACUCUAGACACAGACUGGGCGGAGAAGGGAGUUAACAGACCGCUGACCUUGGCAGAGGCGCCUGGGGAGAAGGUGAGGGGUUUUCUCCCAACACUCGUCAUGAAAAUAGAAGCAGAAAUCUGGCUACAAGUGUGAAGCAUCGGAAGGACCCCUGCGUCUGCUGCGGCGGGCAGAGCAAGAUGGUCACCGAGGCUGCAGCCCGGGCUCUGCUGCCCCCUGGGUCCUGUGGUGGUGUUCAUGGGUGGAUGGUUCUAGGGGUGCCGACCCGGUGCCCCCAGGCUGGAAGCCUCCUCCUCGGACGGCUGGAAGGGGCGGGAUGUGGGCAGCUGAGGAAGCUGGGCAGCAGGACAGGAGGAAGGAUGGAGGAAGGAAGGAAGGAAGUCGCUCAGCUGGGAGGAGGCUGCAAGGUCUGCUCCGCUGCUGGACCACAGCCUUGUCCAGCCCCUGCUCCUGGCUGUUACCGACGUAGAAGGGCUUAGGCAGUAGGAUGUGACGUGCUCAGAGCCCGGAGAAGUGGCUCUGCAUGUCAAACCGUCGAGGACUCCCAAGGGAGACCACGUGGACCUCGCUCAUGAACACACCAGGUGGGCAACUCUGCCACCCGUGCCUGAGCCAGCCGCCCGGGAGCGCACUCUCACGAGCCGACACAAGCCCCUGGGGUGCUUUCUCUGCAAACAGCCGCCGGUGCCUUCGGACGGGCCCUGCCCGACCACUUCCACGUUUCAGCUGGAAGUGUGAAGACGGUUCUGCUGUCCUCUCCUCCCCGAAAUCUCAGGGAACAACAGGAAGUGGGACUGGAAACCAAAAUCUCAAUUCUGUCGUCAGCGAAACUGAGAGGCAUCCGAACUUGGAGACACAAGACCUGGGGCCGUUGCAGAAGGAGGGCAGAGCAGGACAGGACCCGAGGAAGGAUGGCUGUCAGGGCCAACAACACAGUCCGGAGCUCUCCACAGCAGAGCGUGCCCCCGGGAAGGCCAACCGCCCUUCUGGUGCUGCCCAGGACCCACGGGGAUGCACGUCUGAGAGGAGAGUGCCCUUGGCCCAUCACUGGACCCCUUGGGCACUGCAGAGCGGCAGGAAGAGACGCACAGAGAGGCCAUCAUUGCAGGAAGCAGUGUGUUGGCGAGGCUGAAGUCCUGCCUCACACACUCCACACACGCACACACACUCACACUCACAAUACCAGCACAUGGGCACAUACACCACGCACACUCACACACAUUUGCUCCACAUACGCUCACACACACCACACACAUUGUCUCAGGCACACAACUCUGCGUCACACGGAGCCCAGCCUUGACGUGGAGUCCCCCACCAGCCCUGCACCUGGCACUGGCCCCCCCCACAGCACAUAGCUCAUGCAGGAAGGACCCCUGUUGCUCCGAGAGGCUACAAGUGGAAUCGGCCCACCUCCUGGGGGCUCCUCCACAUGCUUGGGGCCCCGCAGAGGGGCAUCAUCAUCUGACUCAUCUGUUGGGUUGAUGUCGGCGUCGAUGCCCCCUCAUUGGAUGCUGUGGACGUGGCCUCACCUCGCCUCACAGUCAUCACAGAGACAGAGACACAAGGCCUCAAACCCCCUCCUGCCUCCUUCCCCCACAUCCCUGCGAAUCAUGUCCAGCCGACAGCCCGUCCGCUCCAGAAGCCAGUUAUCACUGGGGGCCGGGCGGGGGUCUUGGUGCAAACCCCACUCAGUCAAGGCCCCCGCAGAGUCUCUCAGGCAGCUCCUCUUGAGGAAAAUAUUGGGAAAUCGGUGAAAAUAUUUACAUGGAUUUUAUCUCUUUGUCCUGGUUUUGCCGUUUUUAUUUUCCUUUUGGUCAAUUCAUUUUAGUGAGAUGCAAAAUAAAUUGUUUACAUCUGAAUCUCAAAGACUGCGCUCCUCAGAGACACGGCCGGCCGGUGCAGGCUGUGGCCCAGCGCUCCCCCGACCAGGAGGCCAGUGCGGGGAUGGCGAGCUCCACACCACCCUCAUGCCUGUCAGUCCCUAGACGGGCUCGGCUGCAUCUCCUGCACCAGGACCCGCUGUCAAACAUGUGCAUCUUCACUAAAAAUAAAGCCACUCAGGACAUCGACCCAGCCAAGUCUCCCGAGGGCUGUGUAAAAAUUGUUCUCUGGGUCAACCUCAACCAUCAAAACAAUUCACAGGAGAAAAAGAAAGAUGGAAAGUAAAUACACUGAAACGUGAAUAAUCGUUGUCUUUGGGUGUAUUUACUCUUUCAUCUACUUUUCUGUGUUUUCCAGAUUUCUUAAAAUGAGAAUGUGUUACAAACAACAGAAGGGGCAGCCUUAGAAAGUUCAGGGUCAGUCUCCAAAGUAUGCCACCAGUUGAACCAGCUCACAGGAGGGAAGAAUCGAACCGCCACCAAGCCCCGGCAGGCGCAGGCAACCCUGCAGUGACCCUACAACAUGGGCACUGGGAUCCCCAUUUCCAGACGAGGAAGGGGAGGCCCAAGGACACACAGCCCGAGGUCCCAGACAGCUCGCACGGCCACCAGAGCUGAAGGGGCAGGAAGGACACUUGCUCCGAGACCUGGAAGGAAGCCAGCCCUGCCGACGCCUUGGUGUCGGACUUCUGCCUCUAGAAUUUUGAGAGAAGACAUCUCUGGGGUUUUAAGCCCCCAGUCAAUGGCCCUUGGGUAGGGCAGCCCCAGGACACUAACCCGCUCUCACCACUGUGGACAUCUGGAUGAGAUCAGGACUAAAGGAACGCGUGCACGAGAAGAGCCAUGGACAGGCCACGGACAGGCUACGGACGGGGUGCGCAGACAUGCCGUCUCAUCACGGCGGGGGCCCUGGGGUUCGCUGGGGAGACAUGAACGGAAAGGACUCUGCCUCCAUCCAGCGAGCAGCGCAUCCCUGAGACUGACCCACACGGCGCCUGUGCUGGCAGCAACGGUAACAGAACAAGCAACUCACCGCUGAGGCGUCACAUGGCCCCCACGUCCUGACACAAUCCGUGUGGCUUGCUAAUACCGGCCCUUGGCACGGCGAUCUCGGGGUCAGGAAAGGACAGCCUGGCCUGGGCGCGCGGAGGUGCAUCGUGGGGCCAUCACUUCUCCAUGUGGCUGCGUGUCGAGGGAGCUCUUCCUUCCAGCCUCAGGGUCCUGUGGACAGGCCUCUUGUUCUCCAGAAGGAGCUUGGCUCCCUUCAGACACCUGUGUGGGGAAAUAGCAGCUUCUUUAGUUUUAUUUUAUCGUGUGUUUCAAAUGUAGAAAAAUAAACAUCACUCUUUCCAUUUGAAACAAA